AAUCAACGCUGGCGGCGUGCCUCAGACAUGCAAGUCGAACGAUUAAGACUCUCUUCGGAGAGUGCAUAAAGUGGCGCACGGGUGAGUAACACGUAAGUAAUCUACCCUCGAGUGGGGAAUAACGUCCGGAAACGGACGCUAAUACCGCAUAAUGCAGCGGCACCGCAAGGUGACAGUUGUUAAAGAUUUAUCGCUUGAGGAGGAGCUUGCGGCAGAUUAGCUAGUUGGUAAGGUAAUGGCUUACCAAGGCUACGAUCUGUAACCGGUCUAAGAGGACGGUCGGUCACACUGACACUGAAUAACGGGUCAGACUCCUACGGGAGCAGCAGUCGGGAAUUUUGGGCAAUGGGCGAAAGCCUGACCCAGCAACGCCGCGUGAAGGAUGAAGUAUUUCGGUAU
rnacentral:rRNA from 1 species